AGCGAACGCUGGCGGCAGGCCUAACACAUGCAAGUCGAACGAAGUCUUCGGACUUAGUGGCGGACGGGUGAGUAACACGUGGGAACGUACCUGUUAGUUCGGAACAACUCAGGGAAACUUGAGCUAAUACCGGAUGAGCCCUUAGGGGGAAAGAUUUAUCGCCGAAAGAGCGGCCCGCGUUAGAUUAGCUAGUUGGUGAGGUAAAGGCUCACCAAGGCUACGAUCUAUAGCUGGUCUGAGAGGAUGAUCAACCACACUGGGACUGAGACACGGCCCAGACUCCUACGGGAGGCAGCAGUGGGGAAUCUUGCGCAAUGGGCGAAAGCCUGACGCAGCCAUGCCGCGUGAAUGAUGAAGGUCUUAGGAUUGUAAAAUUCUUUUACCAGGGACGAUAAUGACGGUACCUGGAGAAAAAGCCCCGGCUAACUCCGUGCCAGCCGCCGCAGUAAAAC
rnacentral:rRNA from 1 species